CCUUGAUGUUGCUUCAUUAGUGAGACCCAGAGGUUCGGUUAACGAGUUGGACUUGCCUGCUCUGGACCGGUUGCGAUGCCAAGUUUACUUAUUUUAUGAUCCCAGACUUUUUCACCUGCACAAUAUCGCUAUAACACACACACACACACAUAACACACACACACACACAUCCACACACAAAAUCUCUUCGUCGUCCGUUCCCAUCAUAGCAGUGCGGCAGCAUAAGCUACACUAGUAGUUUACCUCUAUUCGCUGAAAAAAGUAGAACUAAAAAGGCUAAUUUGACUUGCAGCCAUGGCACAGAACGUUCCAGAGAUGUGUCCUAGUGUGCCAGAGAGAGACGAGGGAUACCCGAAGGAGGUCGACGCUGGCAAGGGCCGCCGCUUGAGUUUAUUUGUUUACGUGCCGCAAGACUUGAAUGCCCUGUGACGUCCAGCUGGUUGUGAUUGGGACACAAGCUGUUUGCCUUUAGCCACUAGCAGUUAGAAUAAUGCUAACCCACAGCAGGUAGACAAGUAGGGCUAGUGAUGGACGGUUUCAACGGUUGGACACCACCACGGUAUGUAUCCUACCUGGGCACGUACUGUACCGGAAUACUCUUGUUCUUUCUCUAUUCCUCUGUCCAUCCCUCUGUUUCUCUCUCUUGUGAAGUCUCUCAGGCCCCGUCCAAACUGAGCUGAUUUCUUGGUGAAACCGCAUAAGUCUUGUGCGUUUCGGCCGACCGUCCAGACGGAGCCGGCGAAUCAGGUGCCCGAAACCGCACAUUUCUGAAACCAUGUCCGAGGGUGGUUUCAAAUCUAGCCGGACCUAGGCGGUUUCGUGUUAGGAUUCGUGUGGACGCCUGAAACGCAAACAAUGACGUCAAUAGCCCCCCACCAAAUGGGUGACGUCACGAGUUGCUUUGAAUUUUUUAUUUAUUAUUUUAUUUGUAUUCUUUUUGUAGCUUUAAAUACAGCCCCUUAAUAAAUCAAAUUACUAACCGUACAUUAAAAAGUAUUUCUGCUCAAUUGAAAAGGUUGAAUCUCCUCGUGACUGAAUGUUUGUAUACAGCUCGCAGACUGUUUGCGCGCCGGCUGUAUGCGCGCAGGCUGUAUGCGCGCAGGCUGUAUGCGCGCAGGCUGUAUGCGGCAGGCUGUAUGCGGCAGGCUGUAUGCGCUCCACUUUAUUCUGUGGAGAACCAGCGCCUUGAAUAUUUACUAGAGCGUUUCUACAGCUCGACCUCAGUCUCUCUCUCAUUCUGUCUCUCAUUCUUGUGUUCCCUUUCUCAUUCUCUUGACAUUCCUGAACGAUGGAGGAUCAAGCUUUCCAUUUCUUAUAUGAUUUAACUCUCUCCCGUUAUAAGCUUGAUCUUGGAGGAUCUCCCUUCCUCCCUGACUCAUUACUCCAUCAUUCUCUUGCCCCUCUCGCCCUGAAUCGCUGUCUCUUUACUUUGCUCUUCCUCUAUUUGUCCAAUCAGUGCGUGAUUUCAAAUUAAAAUGAACAGUCAACAAAGGAAAGUGCAUGGACUUCAGACUGUCUACUGUUUCUAAUUCAUGGCGGCCGUCCUUGCAUCGGACCACCUGAUCUCUGGACACAUGAAGCCUUGUCCAGGAGUCUCUAGUGAGGAGAAGACAUCAGUCUUGGUCGGGUCAGGGGGUUACACACACAGAGGGGUCAGUCUAGCCCCAGGGGCCAGGGACAGAGUGACCAGACAGAGAGGCCCAG
ensembl:lncRNA